GAAAGCUCAGACUAGAGAAAUAAUUUUCUCUCUGCAACAUAGGUGGAGGACAAGAUGCAGAGCCUUGGACCAGUUCAUGGAGUCUGAAGCUGAGCAUAAAAACUAACUGGCAGAUUCAAGGGCUCUCUGUAGUGGAAAUGCUAAGUCAUGGCGUGAAGCACGAUUGAGCACCUGGUGCGAAGGCAGGGCCAACCCAGGGGAGCUCAGGUGCAUGAAAUGCACCUGAGUGAACAGAAGGGAUGAAGCAAGGAUCCACCCCUUCCCAGACCCCAUUUAAGUGUUGGCAGUGGAGGUGAGGGUGUGUCAUCUGUAUAUUCCUGCCUACCUGAGGACCUUGUAGGCCUUCUGAAGCAUUUUAUAAAUACAGCUACACAGAAGAAGCAAAUUUAUCCAUACCUUCAUGCCAAAGCUCUUACAGUAACUCUGUACUCCAGGGGAAGCAGCUGAAUACAAUCAGAGAUGUUCACAGCUUGUGUUGAAGAUAAGCGUCAUCACUGUGGUCUUACAAAUGAGAAAGCAGAGGCAGAGAGAAGUUUCACCCAAGGCCACGAUGGGAGUUGAAAGUGAAGAUCAGAGAAGCUCUGUACCUGCUUAGAGCAUGGACUGUGUGUCUUCUAUGAGCAAAAAGAAAAAGAGAGGGUUCAGAGUCCAGAUCCGUGUACUUGUUUAGAAAACCUCAAACACUCAAAACUACAGUCAUUGGACCACUACCUGGGGUGCUUACCCGGAGCAUCUGAAGCCAGUAGAUAGAUCCUGGAGCUGGAAAGUAAAGCCAACUGCAAACAAACUGUCUUGCCCCAGUAUCCUUGGAAGCCCCCACGCUGCUGGGUCACUCCCUGGAGCCCCUCCAGCCACACUGGUGGAGGUGGCACAGCUGGAGGAUGAAGGCUUUCAUUUGGAGGCCCAGCUUCUAAUUUAUAAGCCCGACUUUAGCCAAGCAGAUCUGACAGCCCUGGCCUCAGCCUUUAAUGCAAUUAGUAUUCUGGACGCUAUUGAUGAUUUCAUGCCAAAUCAAUUUUGGCACAUUAAAGUGAUUUGUCUGAAAUCCAGCAAAAGAGCUCUCCUAAUAACUCAGCUCUCAGACUCUGCAACGCUGGUGGGAAGGUAAUGUGUCUGCAUAGGUCUCCUCAAUCUGCUCUAAAAAUUUCAGGAAGGUUUAACUGGAAUUUAAAGCAUUUUAAUGCGUACACUUUCUUUUAAGUCUUUGCCAUUCAUUUUAACUCUAAGUACUUUGUAGUUGGCUUCAAGGUAAUUUUAAAAUAAAAAAAAAUUAAAACUGUCUUCAAGAAGGAGGGGUAUCAUCUUGAACUUUAAGUAUAGCUGUAGUUGUGUGUGGGGAAAAAAAUGCACAUUACACGGUCUAAAAGUGUGCUAACAAAGUGGUCUUGAACUACUUGGUGUUCUUCAGGGAAUGCAUUCCUCUUUUUGCUGGAGCAAGGAUAGUGCAUAACUAAGCUGC